UUUUUCCACUGGUUUAGGUUUCUUUUCUGUACUAACGAUAGCAAUAAUAACUUUUAAUGCAGGGUCAAAUUCUUUAUCAUCACAAAUCAUCCUGAUGACUGACCCGUUGUAGUGAGCCGGUAAUGAGUUAUUGGUUACAUUAAUGACUUUCUCGUCCCAUAAUAGUACCCGUUUCUGUCUGAUCAGGUUCUGAAAUGCUCUCUUAAGGGUCCAAGAAUCUUUAGUGUCAUGCCUUUCUGCCCUAGAGUGAUAAGCACACCUGGUACCUAAACUGUAGGAUAGAGAUUCUGGUUCUAUCUGUUUGGAGUACAGGCUGCAACAUGCCCAUUUGGACUAAUUUUUGGAAGAGGUUGGAAUAUGACUCACCAAUGGGUAUGAAGUCAGCUUUUUAAGGUAGUUCACGGAUAUGGGUGUUAUAUUGUUAAUUAUUCAAUGGUGGACGUGGAUUAUACAGAACUUGGUGAGAAGGAUUAUUUCUUGGAGAGGGAGCUCUG
rnacentral:lncRNA from 1 species